CUGAUUACAAACUAUGUAGACAGUACAAAAUGGUUACUGGUACUCAAAUGGUACUGGAAGUAAAAAAGAAUAAACUUAAUAAUAGUUCCAAAUGGUUUAUAUUUGGAGAAAAAAUUAGACCGUAGUUAAAAGCUGC
rnacentral:sRNA from 1 species